GUGAGGAAUUUUCCGCAAUGGGCGCAAGCCUGACGGAGCGACGCCGCGUGAGGGAUGAAGGUUUUCGGAUUGUAAACCUCUUUUGUCGGGGAAAAAGGGGCGCGUGCGAACCACGCGUUCUUGAUGGUACUCGGCGAAUAAGCCCCGGCUAACUACGUGCCAGCAGCCGCGGUAAUACGUAGGGGGCGAGCGUUGUCCGGAGUUACUGGGCGUAAAGGGCGUGUAGGCGGUUGGACAAGUCUGGUGUGAAAUGCAUUGGCUUAACCGGUGCGCUGCGCUGGAAACUGUCUGACUGGAGUUCGGGAGGGGUGACUGGAAUUCCCGGUGUAACGGUGAAAUGUGUAGAUAUCGGGAGGAACACCUGUGGCGAAGGCGGGUCACUGGACCGGAACUGACGCUGAUACGCGAAAGCGUGGGGAGCAAACAGGAUUAGAAACCCUAGUAGUCC
rnacentral:rRNA from 1 species